AAGUCGUAACAAGGUUUCCGUAGGUGAACCUGCGGAAGGAUCAUUACACAGUAUUAUCGGGGGGUCGGCAAGCCGAUGCGUGCAAGCGCUCUGUUUCUGGCCCUGUCUGGUUCUACCCCAUGUUUUUUUGCGUACCUCUGUUUCCUCGGCAGGCUUGCCUGCCGAUAGGACACUACCAACCCAUUGCAAUAGAAGUCAGCGUCAGAAAAACGUAAUAAUUACAA
rnacentral:misc_RNA from 1 species